rnacentral:rRNA from 1 species
UACGGAGGGUGCAAGCGUUGCUCGGAAUUAUUGGGCGUAAAGGGUAGGUAGGUGGUCUCAUUUGUCUCAUGUGAAAGCCUUGAGCUUAACUCAAGAAGUGCGUGAGAAACGGUGAGACUAGAGUCCUAGAGAGGCGAGUGGAAUUCCCGGUGUAGUGGUGAAAUGCGUAGAGAUCGGGAGGAACACCAGUGGCGAAGGCGGCCCUCUGGGCCGGGCCUGACGCUGAGACGCGAGGGCGUGGGGAGCGAACGGG